GCCUGGCUGGCUUAGUUCGUAGAGCAUGUGACUUUUGAUCUAGGGAUUGUGAGUUCGAGCCCCACGUUGGGUG
rnacentral:tRNA from 1 species